AGAAUUCUCUGAGCAGCUGGAAAAAGCUGCUAAUAAACAAAGACAUCAGAAAGUGUGGGCUUUAGGUGUAGCCCCCGCUUUCUGAUGCACUAAUUAGACUUAGUAACCGACACCCCAUACCAGCAUUACAUAGACACUUGGGGGCUGAGCUGGGUGGGUGGUGUUAUAAGCACUUGUUUUGUUAGAUGUAUUUUUUCAGACAGGGCACAGUCUCCUUUGUGGCAAAACCUUCAAACUUCACCAUCCUCAGCUGAAACAACAACAUCUUAACCCCAUCUUCAUGAACUGCUGAGCCAAACCUGAUCCAUCAGUGCUGGACUGCACAGAUAACUACAUGCCACAAGGAGACUGCUGUGUUAUGAACUGCCAUACCAGUGUGUCUUCAAUGGAGAAGAUGACACACCCAUCACCUGACCUCCUGCCUGAUCUGGAGACCAUCAUCAUGCUGCCACACUACACACCUCUGAGACCAUCAAUGAUGACUCAUACUGAGGAAACUGUAUUUCCUGUCAGAGAUGCUCAGUGAUCCUCAGAGCAGAGAGAGGUAUUGCUGUCUUCUGAGUUCUUCAGUGUCCCAACUGACACAUUCAAACCUCAUUGCAGAGCUCAUGUCUUUCCUCACCAUCAUGUGAGUGUGAGAUUGCUCUGGAUUCUGGUUAUGUGGCCUGCAGCACCUAUAAGAACAAGCUCGUCCAGUGUGCCUGCAUUCCAGCUUCACAGAAAAGAAGAUCAGACACCAGCGCGGGGAGGAUAAGAAAGACAGACACAACAACAUUGUCAUCCCCUAUGUAGCCGGUGUAUCAGAAAAACUCAGGAGAGUUUUCUCCAAAUACGACAUCCCAGUGUACUUCAGACCCAGUAACACACUCAGACAGAAACUGGUUCACCCGAAAGACAAAACUCCAAAACACAAACUUAACAGUGUGGUGUACGCUGCACAGUGCAGCGAGGAAUGCCCAGACCUCUACAUCGGAGAGACCAAACAGCCACUUCACAAGCGCAUGGCACAACAUAGAAGAGCCACCUCCACGGGACAAGACUCAGCAGUUCAUCUGCAUCUAAAGGUCAAAGGUCACUCUUUCGAGGAUGCCAAUGUUCACAUUUUGGACAGAGAGGACAGAUGGUUUGAAAGAGGAGUGAAAGAAGCCAUUUACGUCCACUGUGAGCGACCAUCUUUGAACAGAGGCGGUGGUUUACGACACCAACUGUCUGCCAUUUAUAAUCCAGUUUUGAGUUCCCUCCCCAGACACCUUAACGCCCACUCACAUCCUGGGAGUGGGCGUGGGUGAUUUCCUGACCUCAGGAAAUCACAUGAUAGGGUGGGGCCAGGUUUCACAAUGAGCUCACCCGAAACCCUGGCUGAUUGGGACCCACACCCACUUUCACACCUUGGCUCAUGUGAUUAGGUAGAGGAUAAUCAGGGGGUUCUUUGUCCCUCUUUGGGGGGAAACUCCCACUGGGUUUAAAUCUGGCACUCUCCACCAUUGACCCUUAGAACUGAAGAAGCUUCUCGGAUGAGAGGUGAAACGUCUUCAAGGAACUCAAAGAAGUCCAGACGCUUUUCUUUCCAAGCUCCUUAGACUUCACUUGUGUUAAUUACAUUUUAUUUGUUGUUGUUUUCUUUUAGAUUUAUAUGCAGUGAUUGGAUGUGGUGGAGCUUUGUUAACCGUGUGGAAAACAUCUGUUUGUGAUGAUAUUUACAAUGAGGCUUUAAGGUGACAGUUUCCAUGUAAUUUCAAUCCUUUUACUAUGCAAAAACAUGUUUGCAAUUAACAUAUUUGUUCAGUUUUGUCUUUUGGAUUUAUGGUUAACAUUCCUCUGUGACAGCAAAUACUAAACUGGUCCAAGUAACCAGCAUAUCAUUGGUCAAAGGCAAAAAGGACCACAUGUCACACUAGCAAUGAAUUUUUGACUGUGUUUGUGUUAGUAUAGAGUAGGUCUAACAGUGGUUUUCCACAUCUGCUCUAAUAUAUACAGAUAAUGGGUCAGACAUAUAAAGUCAUUUUGAAAAGUUCAUAAAGGUCAUUUAUAUGUGUUCCUCUUUAUCAUUUUAUAUCAGGUCACACAGCUGACUUGAGUUUUGAUCAGAGUAGAACCAUAACAUUCAUGCUAAUGGUUCUACUGUUUACAGUUACUUUAUGAUGGAUUUCACCCUGGUCACAGCACUAUGUGAAAAGCUGUUAGAGGUAAAGUUAACCCAAUUAAUACCUCAUCAUAAGUCACUCUCUAACGCAAAGCAGUGAUUAUUUUUCACUGUAAUUUAUUCCACAACAAUGUUCUUUAUUUGAUCCUUGUUUCUUUAAAUAUGCACAUCGAUUGUUCAGCUGUGUGACUCUCCACACCUCAAAUAUAUCACAAUGUGGACUUCAUUUCGACAGUAUUUUGUAGAUUGGUACCAUAUUUAUCAUCAAAUCAUCUUGUGCAUUUAUUACCUAAAUGUUGUUUGUGUUUUUUGUUUUGUUUGUUUGUUUGGGGGUUUUUUGUUGCCAUUUUUACAUUUCACCAACUGUGUAAAUUCUGUAAUUUUACCUUGGUUUUGUUUCACAUCAGUUUAUCUGCUGGCUAGUAUUCCUGUCUUCCUUCUCUCACCCCAACCGGUCGCAGCAGAUGGCCGCCCCUCCCUGAGCCUGGUUCUGCUGGAGGUUUCUUCCUGUUAAAAGGGAGUUUUUCCUUCCCACUGUCGCCAAAGUGCUUGCUCAUAGGGGGUCAUAUGAUUGUUGGGUUUUUCUCUGUGAAGAGGCGCUUCAUUUUUCACAGUUAAACAAGUAACUUUGAGGUUACUUCAUCGUUUUCAGCUGUUAUCUGUUUACAGUUUUUUCCUAAUAAUUACAUUUCUGCAAAAUUAUAGCAGUUCUGGUAAGUUGAAAUAUUUUUGCCAAGUUAUUAAUUUUCUACUAAAUUAUAUCAUUUCUGCUAAGUUAUGUUAUUCUAAAUUAUUACAUUUCUGCUAAGUUGUAGCUUCUGGUAAAUUACAACAUUUCUGCUGAAUUGUUAUGUUUCUUCUAAGUUAUUGCAUUUCUGCUAAGUUACUACAUUUUUGUUAACUUGAUGUUGUUCUGC
ensembl:lncRNA